AUUGAACGCUGGCGGCAGGCCUAACACAUGCAAGUCGAGCGGAUGAAGGGAGCUUGCUGCUGGAAUCAGCGGCGGACGGGUGAGUAAUGCCUAAGAAUCCGGCUGCUAGUUGGGGAUAACGUCCGGAAACGGGCGCUAUAACCGAAUACGGCCUGCGAGAUAAAGUGGGGGAUCUGGGGACUUCACGCUAUGAGCUGAGCCUAGGUCGGAUUUCCUAGUUGGUGGGGUAAAGGCCUACCAAGGCGACGAUCCGUAACUGGUCUGAGAGGAUGAUCAGUCACACUGGAACUGAGACACGGUCCAGACUCCUACGGGAGGCAGCAGUGGGGAAUAUUGGACAAAGGGCGAAAGCCUGAUCCAGCCAUGCCGCGUGUGUGAAGAAGGCCUUCGGAUUGUAAGGCCCUUUUAGUGGGGAGGAAGGGCAGUAAGUUAAUACCCCGCUGUUCUGACGUUACCAACAGAAUAAGCACCGGCUAACUUCGUG
rnacentral:rRNA from 1 species